rnacentral:rRNA from 1 species
GACGAACGCUGGCGGCGUGCUUAACACAUGCAAGUCGAACGGUGAAGCGCCUUCCUUUUUGGUGGGUGUGGAUGAGUGGCGAACGGGUGAGUAACACGUGAGUAACCUGCCCCCUUCUUCUGGAUAACCGCAUGCAAGUGUGGCUAAUACGGGAUAUUCUGGGUCUGUCGCAUGAUGGGUCUGGGACAGAUAUUGUUUCGGUGGGGGAUGGGCUCGCGGCCUAUCAGCUUGUUGGUGGGGUGAUGGCCUACCAAGGCGGUGACGGGUAGCCGGCCUGAGAGGGUGGACGGUCACACUGGGACUGAGACACGGCGCAGACUCCUACGGGAGGCAGCAGUGGGGAAUAUGGCACAAUGGGCGCAAGCCUGAUGCAGCGACGCCGCGUGAGGGAUGGAGGCCGGCGGGUUGUGAACCUCUUUCGCCAGUGAAGCAGGCCUGCCUCGUUUGUGGGUGGGUUGACGGUAGCUGGAUAAGAAGCGCCGGCUAACUACGUG